UCGGGUCAACCUCCCAACCCAUGUACGUACCUGUGUGCAAUUCGGGCUGGGCAGGCCGCCGGCUAUCCUCCUUCGUGCCGCCGCCGAAGUUACCUCAGUAACGCUGUCUUGAAGUAUGCAGUCUGAGCAAAACUAGUCUAAAUUAGAUUAAAACUUUCAACAACGGAUCUCUUGGUUCCGGCAUCGAUGAAGAACGCAGCGAAAUGCGAUAAUUAAUGUGAAUUGCAGAAUUCAGUGAAUCAUCGAGUCUUUGAACGCACAUUGCGCCCUCUGGUAUUCCGGAGGGCAUGCCUGUCCGAGCGUCAUUGCUGCCCUCAAGCACGGCUUGUGUGUUGGGCCCUCGUCCCCCCGGGGACGGGCCCGAAAGGCAGCGGCGGCACCGCGUCCGGUCCUCGAGCGUAUGGGGCUUCGUCACCCGCUCGUUAGGCCCGGCCGGCGCCAGCCGACCCCCCCUCAAUCUUUAACCAGGUUGACCUCGGAUCAG
rnacentral:rRNA from 1 species